AUCCUGUCGGCGGUCAUAUGCUUUAUCCGGGGAUUCUUGCCAUGCAGGUUUAAAAACAAGACUUUAAAUGUCGAAUUUGCGAAUGGCUAAAUAGUUCAGUUACAAUCUAAGUGGUUGUGAAAUUCCUGAGGAUACAAAUAGGAAAUCUAUUGAUAAACCAUAGUAAAAGGGGUGUUAAAACCCUGAGUUUACGAGGAGAAGAAUCAUGUGGGGGCAACUCCACUCGGUUGAAUCAUCGUAAAGUCAUUGAAUCACGCUUAAAUGCAGUGAUGACGCACAUGAAUUUCUGAUCGAUUAGCUAUCGUUGUUUGGAUAGAGGCCAAACAAGGCUUUCAUCGGUACGAGGAAUGGAUGUUCGAUUUCGUAGAAUACGCCUGAGAGACGGCGAAUACUCUCAUGAGAGGCAGCAGGCUCGUAAAUUACCCAAUUACAACAAGUAGAGGUAGCGAAGGAAAAUAUGGGGGGUGGUAGGUUAUGCCUAUUACAUUCCCAAAUGGAAGCGAAUUAAAUAUGCCAUAGAAAGCAAGAAGAGGAAAAGUAUCGGUGCCAGCACCCGCGGUAAUUCCAGCUCUUCUAGCGUAUAUCGAAGUUGAUGCAGUUAAAAAGCUCGUAGUCGGAGUUGUUCGGAUAGAGGAUGAAAUACUGACCAUGGUGAAAGCUAUGGUUGGGACUCUACCGAUUCACUGGACUGUGUGUGUGCUGGGGUUCGCCCUGGAUUACUACCUGUCCUCUUUUACUUUGAGGAAAUUAGAGUGUUCAUAGCAGUCGUCUUGACUGAAUAGUUUAGCAUGGGAUAAUAGAAUAUGGCAAGUUGUUUAUUCUAUGGUUCUUAAAAGCAGUUUUUGCAAUGAUCAAUGGGAGUGGAUGGGGCUGCCUGUAUUACGGAGCUAGAGGUGAAAUUCUAUGAUUUCCGUAGGACAAACAAUUGCGAAAGCAUCCAGCCAGUACAUGUCCGUCGAUCAAGAACGAAGGGAGUGGUAUCGAAGAUGAUCAGAUACCGUCGUAGUCACUCCAGUAAACGAUGAUAACUCGGGGUGGGAGGGAUGUAACUUCAAACUUGCACUUUCCCGAACCGUAUGAGAAAUCAAAGUAUCUAUAUUUCCGGGGGGAGUAUGGCCGCAAGACUG
rnacentral:rRNA from 1 species